UUGAAGGGUCAGAAAGUGGAAACUAAAAGAUAAAUGAGUGUUAUUUAAAAUCAAGAGGAACACGAUCCAUUGACAAAAACCACAUUGCUCUCAACUUUUAGUGAGAGAGAGAGAUAGAUCUAGAGAGAACAAAUUCUUCAUAGCAACUAGAGGAAGGAUCCAAAGGGAUCGCAUUGAUCCUAAUAAAGGUGAAUUACCCCAAUCUUUUCUUAAUAAUUAGCAAACAAAUCAAAAAAAUUUGCUUGGUUUUGGAUCAUGCUAUCUCUUUGGAUUCAUCCUUCGGUAGCUUCCUCUUCGAUCGUAUGGUUUUAAAUCAACCAGCCUGAUGCUUCACCGGGAACCUUGCUAGCUUUAAGAUUCCCCAACCUUUGAUCUCAAGCCUACAACAGUAUAUAACGAACUCUCUUCUUACAGUUCAAUUUUUUUAAAGGUGCAAAAGAUUUUGGUGGACGGACAAAUAUGGAAGAAGGGCGAUGUAAUUUAUUUUAUGCAACAUUUGAAAUUCCAUUGUCUCCUUCUACACUACAUUCCUGGUCAAUUUUACGAGACUUACAUUUUCUUCAUUGAA